GAUGAAGAACGUAGCGAAAUGCGAUAGGUAAUGUGAAUUGCAGAAUUCAGUGAAUCAUCGAAUCUUUGAACGCAUCUUGCGCUCCUUGGUAUUCCAUGGAGCAUGCCUGUUUGAGUGUCACGUAAACCCUCACCCUUGCGAUGUCAAAGUCGCCUGUGGUGGAUUUGGACUGUGCCGUAAUUGGCUCGUCCUGAAAUGCAUUAGCUUGCGCUUUUUAGAGUGCUCGGCAUGGUGUGAUAAUUAUCUGCGCCGGCGCCUUAGGCCUCUUCUGUGUGCGUAGCUUCCAAUCGUCCCUCGUGGACAACAUAUUUUAAAGCUUUGGCCUCAAAUCAGGUAGGACUACCCGCUGAACUUAAGCAUAUCAAUAAGCGGAGGA
rnacentral:misc_RNA from 1 species